GAUGAAGAACGUAGCGAAAUGCGAUACGUAAUGUGAAUUGCAGAAUUCAGUGAAUCAUUGAGUCUUUGAACGCACAUUGCGCCCCCUGGUAUUCCGGGGGGCAUGCCUGUCCGAGCGUCAUUGCUGCCCUCAAGCACGGCUUGUGUGUUGGGCCUCCGUCCUCCUCCCGGGGGACGGGCCCGAAAGGCAGCGGCGGCACCGCGUCCGGUCCUCGAGCGUAUGGGGCUUCGUCACCCGCUCUUGUAGGCCCGGCCGGCGCUUGCCGACACAUCAAUCUUUUUUCCAGGUUGACCUCGGAUCAGGUAGGGAUACCCGCUGAACUUAAGCAUAUCAAUAAGCGAGGA
rnacentral:misc_RNA from 1 species